rnacentral:rRNA from 1 species
GGAUGAACGCUAGCGACAGGCUUAACACAUGCAAGUCGAGGGGCAGCAUAAAAGUAGCAAUACUUUGGUGGCGACCGGCGCACGGGUGAGUAACGCGUAUGCAACCUACCUAUCAGAGGGGGAUAACCCGGCGAAAGUCGGACUAAUACCGCAUAAAACAGGGGCACCGCAUGGUGAUAUUUGUUAAAAAUUUAUUGCUGAUAGAUGGGCAUGCGUUCCAUUAGGUAGUUGGGGAGGUAACGGCUCACCAAGCCCACGAUGGAUAGGGGAACUGAGAGGUUGGUCCCCCACACUGGUACUGAGACACGGACCAGACUCCUACGGGAGGCAGCAGUGAGGAAUAUUGGUCAAUGGGCGAGAGCCUGAACCAGCCAAGUCGCGUGAAGGAAGAAGGAUCUAUGGUUCGUAAACUUCUUUUGCAGGGGAAUAAAGUGCAGGACGUGUCCUGUUUUGUAUGUACCCUGAGAAUAAGGAUCGGCUAACUCCGUGCCAGCAGCCGCGGUAAUACGGAGGAUCCGAGCGUUAUCCGGAUUUAUUGGGUUUAAAGGGUGCGUAGGUGGUUUAAUAAGUCAGCGGUGAAAGUUUGCAGCUUAACUGUAAAAAUGCCGUUGAAACUGUUAGACUUGAGUGUAAAUGAGGUAGGCGGAAUGCGUGGUGUAGCGGUGAAAUGCUUAGAUAUCACGCAGAACUCCGAUUGCGAAGGCAGCUUACCAAGCUACAACUGACACUGAAGCACGAAAGCGUGGGGAUCAAACAGGAUUAGAUACCCUGGUAGUCCACGCAGUAAACGAUGAUUACUAGCUGUUUGCGAUACACAGUAAGCGGCACAGCGAAAGCGUUAAGUAAUCCACCUGGGGAGUACGCCGGCAACGGUGAAACUCAAAGGAAUUGACGGGGGCCCGCACAAGCGGAGGAACAUGUGGUUUAAUUCGAUGAUACGCGAGGAACCUUACCAGGGUUUGACAUACAGGUGGUAGAGAAGCGAAAGUGGAACGACCCUUCGGGGAGCCUGAACAGGUGCUGCAUGGCUGUCGUCAGCUCGUGUCGUGAGAUGUUCGGUUAAGUCCGCUAACGAGCGCAACCCUUGUUGUGUGUUACACGUAUCACACGAGACCGCCGGUAGAAAGCCGGAGGAAGGUAGGGAUGACGUCAAGUCAGCAUGGCCUAUAUAUCCUGGGCUACACACACGCUACAAUGAUCGAUACAAUGGGUAGCCAAGCCGCGAGGCGGAGCCAAUCCUAAAAAGUCGGUCUCAGUUCAGAUUGCAGGCUGCAACUCGCCUGCAUGAAGUUGGAGUUGCUAGUAAACGCAGGUCAGCUAUACUGCGUUGAAUACGUUCCCGGGGAU